GUACAAUUAUAAGUACAGUUUAACACAUUUGAGUGAGGUGCAACAGCAAGUGAAAUGUAGUCGUAGUAAUAUUGGUGGGAGAACUACCUGACUGAAUGAUAUUGCGAGGAAAAGACAAACAGAAUAAAGUAAACAUGAAAUUAAAAAAAAAAAGUAUAUUAACAGCGUGAGUAAAGUGCAAACGCAAAUGAAAUAGUUGUAGUAAUGGUAGAAGAAGGACGAUCUCAAUGAAGGAUGGUGGCGAAGAAAACACAGACCUACGGAGCCCCUAAAGGGACAAAAAAUGAAGAAACUUGUUUCUCAUUUGAAUGAGAAACGUCUACCUGUCUGUCUGCCUGUAUAUUCCUCGUUUUGAGGAAAGGGAGCAAAGUCCUCUCCUUUUGCCAUUCUCUCAGCUCACAAGCGCCGGAAGCAAGUUGUAAAGAAGCUCCUGUACGGCUACCCGAACGCAGGAAGCUACCGCUAGCAGCGUGGCGGCGUCGGCGCCCGGCGUGACCCUCGCUGUGGAUGCCAUCGAGGAUGAUGAUGCCGAUCAUCUCUGUCACUCGGGGGGGGGGGGGGGAUUUCAGGCCGCGGCGCGCUUACGCAACAGGUACCGGCUUCCCCUCAAUGUCAUCCGCGGCAUUGGCCUCCGCUCAGCGACGACAGUCGGGACCCGGAGCGAGCCGUCUGGCGACGUGCCCGAUCGGCAAGCGAGCCGUCCUAUCGCUGACGUCGAGUGAGCCGAAGAUGUCACGUCUUCAUCUUGUGAGACUUCAAUCCCCCUUUCAGGAUGCACGCGGGUCUCUGUCCUGUCCCUGAGUGUAGAGGCUCAUGUGUACAAAACAUCUCUUGGCUCAACAAAAGUUCAACUCAUUUGGGUUUGAGACUACAUUAUCAUCGGCAGCUCCAUUAUUUAGUUUUAUUCAACUAAAACUAUUCUGUACGUAUAGCGGGGGUCAGUGACCUUUUUGAAACUGAGAGCUACUUCUUGGGUACUGUUUAACGCAAAGAGCUACAAGUUUGAUAACGGUCCUUUUCACCUACUUUGAUCAAUAAUGGUAAAGACAUGGCCCCCAUUGAAUUUCCUUUAGAAAAUCCAUUCAUUUCACUGAUAUGAAUAUUUGAAUUAUUGGCCGUUGUUAGCCAUCAAAAGGUCAUAUUUGUUUCUAAGAGAGAAAUAUUCUGAAGAUAUAUUUUGUAAUUUUUUUUAAUGGCAAAAUGUCUUUACCGUUAUGUGUUCCAAAUGAAAUUUCAUAAUUUGCAAAAUGUUUUCUGAAGAUGUUAAAUAGGAUUUUUCUGCCUUUUCCAUGAAAAAUACCACAAAUGCAUCUUCUUGUCGAAAGAGUUCCUUUUGUUUGUUUCUUUUACAAACGCUCCUUCGUCACUCCGGCUGUCUUUACCGUUAAUUCCACUGGGUAGAGCCUCAUUAUGUUGUUGCAAUACACCAGCGGGAUCUGAAGGAUGAGGCGGCCAUUUAGCAUUCACACAACAGCAGACAGCAAAAUAAAUGGUGUUAUUUCUGAGUUAGGAAUGAAUAUGUAUGAAUUUGUGAACGUGUUGUAACUAUUCCAUGUUUUUACCGUUAUUACGAUUGUAUAAAAGCAAGAGACGAGACCAAUGGCUUUAACGAGUAGUUUGGAUAAUUUUAGCAAUUGUAUCUGCAUAGUUUGAAGGGCAACACACAACUCACUCAAUUUUUAUGAAGCUGUUUAUGUCACACACACUUUUGAAAAACCACAUUUUGUCAAUUCACCUUUCACAAUAUGUUAUUAAUAAUGAAUGAUAUUCACACGUGUGAAGACGCUGAUCCUGUUAAUGAUUUCUCGUAAUAAUUAUCAACAAUGAUUUCACAACAUAGGAAAGGCAUAUUCAAUAUCAAUAUGCCACACGUUAUUUCUAGAAAUCUCUGCACGUGUUUACAUUUUCAAAUGAUCACUUCUACAACAUAUCUUGGAAAUCACAAUGUCCUGUCACUGGUGAGCAACUCGUGGUUCUUGGGGCGACCUUUGUCCCCAUGGGUACCAUUUUGAUGACCUCUGUUGUAUAAGAUGCAUUUAUACAUUUAAGGCACAAAUUUGGAGGGAAAAAAAAAAAAAAAAAAAGGCCAAUGGCAUACCAAUGCAAACAUAUUUCAUAACAUUCGACAUAUUCCAAUCGGACCAUUGACAGUCCAUUAGCUAUUAAAAAUGAACGCGUCUUUCUUCCUCCUUUGUUUGCCCCGAAGCCGCUUGACUCGUUCUACUUGACUCCUGAACCAUUUCAAUAUCAGGCUGCUGUGGCUUUUCCUUCCUUGAAGCCAGCAUCGUCUUCAUAUUUCUGCUUGUGUUCUCUUCUCGAGGAGCUCAUAUGUCGGAAUGACGCUUACGGAGUCAGUCACCCUUUUCAUGAGCCCUUUCAAUAAGAUGGUGUGUUUGCAUGGUGCCACGGAGAAAUAUGUGUCAUGAAUUUGACUUUGUAUAUGUGUCACGUUGGCAACUAUAUUGGGAUUCAUUUGGAAUCCUUUUAAAUUAAUUCAUCCUAUUCGCAAAAAUCCGAGAAGUCAAUGUAUUCCAACGUGCCUGCUCAGCUUUGUUUAGGGCCCAGUGCAACAUCUUGUUAGCAGCUCAUAUUAAUCACUUUGGAAACGCCAUCAAUAAAGCAGCCCGACGGAAAAAUGGCAAUUAAGCACUUAUUGGCCCGGUGUGAUCAGUGUUGUCCAAGGUCAUGAGCAGACGUCAAUGGCCGUGUGUGUGUGUGUGUGUGUGUACGUGUGUUUCCCAAUACAAUACGACGGACACGUGUUAAUCUUGCUCAACUUUUUACUU